GAGACUUGGUAACCUAGCGCCACGUUSGUGUUUUUAAAGUUUUGUUGUUAUGUUGUAUUUACUGCUUUUCUGACCUAAAUAUGGCUCGAAAAGAGGUCCAAGGAAAGUCUGAAAUAGAAAAAUACAGAAAGCGAUUAGGUCAUCAUGAAUUUAGUGGUAGAAAUAAAAGAAACACAAUCAAGAGUAAAGAUGCAGCACAAGCACGCAAGUCAUCUCAUCCAUUUCAGAUUAUAUUACUUUACUUGGUCUUCCUGCUUGUCAUCCUGUUAGCAAUCUACUGUUUGUUUUAUUCACUUUAUAACAUCAAGAAACAAGCAAAUUAGUCAAAUGAUGUUCAACGAACAAUAAAUGAAUAAAGCUGUAAAUAUAUUCAUAGCUUAAUAUAAGAUAUCCUCCAAUCAAAUUAUUUGAUAUUAAAACUUAUGUGAAUUUGUA